CCAAUUAGUAAAGCUCAGG
rnacentral:siRNA from 1 species